AAACUGCAUUUAAAUGAUUCGUAACUCUGAGAACGACUCGUUAAUCCACCACACACACACACACAGUAAAAAAAGAAAAAGAAAAAAGAAAAACAUCCUCUACUACAGUGCCAAUUAUAAACAAACCUCUGAAUCUCUGUUUAAACUUUGAUCAGAAAACAUGAACUGUGAAUCAACACCUUCACAAUCAGUUGGUCGUGUUAUCGUCGUAACGUGUGGAAGGAGUCUCCAGUGUCAGAGCUGCUGGGACCAUGUUCGCUAAACCCUCCAGUAAUGCAGCUCAGCCGCCGUGAGAUAAACAUCGUAUAAAGGAUUUGGUUUUCUGCAUCGCCCAAAAGAACCGAGGCCCAAUUUCUGAAGCAUAAUACGCAAAAAAAUGACACAAAAGUAAGUACAAAAAUUAUCGCUACGAUCAGUAAGCCAGGACAGACGGGCUCCAGUUAUUGUGUUAUGAAAAGUUUUUCGAGGCCACGAUUACAUAAAUUAAUAAACAAUGUAUAAGCAACAAACAUUCUUAUAUCUUUAUGUUCACCCGCAAUGUUCUCCAGGUCCCUCGUGAGGUGAAAAUCCCUCAGGACUAAAAUAAAAUGCCGGAGAACAAUUCAAUACCCAGCCGUGAAUACAGGAACUGACGGAGGUGAGAAAACAAUCCUGCAUUAAUCAUGACGAUGCGUCCGAAAGACACGCGCAAGUACUUUAGCUGGAGUGGAAGGAGAAAAGCAGGGAUGUGCUGCAGUUCCUGCUGCUGUGCAGAAGAAAAAUAAAUAAAUAAAUAAAUAAAUAAAAAGUACUCCUGUGUUCAAGGAACAGCCCACGGCACGGAGAAGAAGCAAAAGUGUCGCCUGAUAUCUGCAGAUCUCGGCUGAGACACAUUACAAUGAAGAACGGAUUUGUUUUUUUUUAAUGGGAGAACAAAUGAAACGUUCUUCGUGAAUGUAACGUGAAAGCAAUUUUUGAAAUAAACGACUGCGCAAUAAAAACACAACAAACGCAGACCCACAUGCGUCAGGGUGUAAUUUGCAUUUAUAUUAACGCAGAUCGCGGCAUCGCUCCGAUCUCUUUUGGUGUGGACACCGAGACAAGGACGUUUUCAGGGGACCCUCGGUAACAAACUGCACGUUCAGCUAAAUCUGUCAAAUAUGAAAAGCUCGGAUGCGAGCGACAAAAAAACAAACAAUCGUGUCCUGAAAAUAAAGCGAAUGCAAAGUAGACAGAAACAUUUCCCGGACCGGGGGAAGGAUGACGACGUCCAGCGGUAAAGAGGUGUUAAAAUCAGAGCCGUGGGCUUUUAAUAAAGGCCUCGAACCUUCACACUCCCCUGGUGCAUGUUAGCAGUUUGCUUCUGUCCCUAUUAUUUUGUGGAAUGGCAAGAGAUUUAUACCGGCUGUUAUUUAGACGGUGUUGUAUGCAAAUCGGGAAUAUUUAUGGAAAUAAUAAUUACAACUGUUUAAUUAUUAUUGCUCAAAUUUUAUUAGGUUUCAUUCGAGCCCAUUUUACAUCAGACCCAGCAGUGCUGCUGCAAGUCAGUGUUAUUAAUCGCGAUGAAUGCUGUUCUUAUUUAGAGAAUAAUCUAUAUAAAAACACACACACACACACACCAAAGGUUUUCUUGGUUAUGAAACAAAAUGUCAGCCUAAACAGACAUUACUUUCAGCACCGAAAGCAGAGUGUGAUGACUGAAGGUCAGCGGAACAGAAGGCAGGACUGUGACUGUUGCUAGGGUUCGUGUUUGGUUUACUACAAGUAUUGAUUCAGGACGAAUUCGACAUCAAUGAGAAAGACACUAAAGGCUGAACUGACUGGACCACACACACACAUACACACACCAUAUAGACCUGAUUCAAGUAAUGAAGUUAGAGCUGACUGCAGUUGGUUGGUUAUACGGUCUUUAUAAAAUCAGCCCCGAGUGUGUUUUAUCUCGCUCUCUGUCCUCUUUGUCAUUCGUGAAUCAAGGUCGUAUAACUGCAGAAGGGAGAUGGAAAGGGGAGGGUGGUGGUGGUGGGGGAGUCUUGGUCCCUGCUUUAUAGAAUAUAUUCAUGUAUGCACGUGUGUGUGUGUGUGUGAGUGAGAGAGAGAGAGAGAGAGAGAGAGAGAGAGAGAGAGAGAGAGAGAGAGAGAGAGAGAGAGAGAGAGAGAGAGAGAGAGAAUGAGAGUGAGAAUGAGAAUGUGUGUGUGUGUUUGGAAUGUUUAGAAUCUCGGCUUUAUUCGCCGACCCAAAGAAUACCUCCAGAACACAGUAUGGUGUGAGGAUCGAACCCGAACUCUUACAUCAUCGGCAAUUUGAAAAUCCAUCCAGAUUUUUAUAACAAGGUGGAAGUUUCAUGGCGUCGAGGCCGACACUGACGCUGGCACUGACGCAAUUUUCUCCCCCUUAUGAUCUGGGCUGGUUCCCAUCAGCAGUACAUCUGCCAUCAGAUUUGCACCAGCAGGAGAUCGCUCUUCAUCUCAGGCUCCAGUGAGUUCUCAGCGCCGCACUCAUCCUCACACACAGCCCUCAUUCUCUCCGGCUCCAUAUGCAAAAGGUGCGUACGUCGCUAACGAGACAAAUCAACACAACCCUAGCGGAAUUCGCUGGAAAUUUAAGUCUAGUUGUGUUACAUUUUGAGAGGUUAAGUAAAGGAUUAGCAACCAGCAUUUUCUGCAGUAAAACUGCAGCUAACCAAAAGUUUUGGUACCCCGUAUAUAUGGAUACUGAUGCUACCUUGCAUAUGGAGAAAGAGAACAGCCAUCAUGACCAUUUCCUGGUGUGUUAUUGUACAUUAAGUGUGUGUGCGCACGCGCAUGUGCUUUCUGAGCUCGCCGUCGACAGCGACGCGCUUUCCUGCUCUGCUGAGACGAGGAAUUUAUUCCACGUUGCUCUGAGUUGGCAAAGCGAGCCGUGGCACUGAUGGAUGGCACAGCGCAUUCUUCCUCUCGAGCAGAUUCCCACAGGCGAGCAGAUGGCUCUGCCCAGCUUCUCUCUCUCACAGGCAUCCGUGGGCGUGCUGAGUGGGCACGGAGAUGCCCUCCUGGGGCGGAUUACUCCACCCCACAGCCCACAGUGCCGGUGCUCGUGCCAUAAUGACUAGCAUUACUCAAUGCAAUAAUUUUCUCCUCUUCUCUCAUGCCCUGUUGAUCUGCUCAGACACUGCCAUUGUUCCAGCUGUGAAUGUGCCAAAUCCAUGGUAUUUAUACACACACAUCCAUAUAUAUAUAUAUAUAUAUAUAUAUAUAUUUUUUUUUUAAAAUACUGUUAUAUAACGUAACAGAUACUCAACAAAUCCUCCAUCUUGUCAAGUUGCACACAAAUGUUUCAUGAUCAUAAGCCAUUUUAUCAUGUUUUUUAUAUUUCUCAUACUUUUUGAUUCCUUUCUGCAAUGUUCCAUGAUGCAGUAUUUUACACACACACACACACACACACACACACACACACACACUAUAUAUAUAUAUUAUCUAGAUAUACCUAAUAUCUUCUCGCCGGUUUGGCAGCUUGAUGGGUUUGAUUUUUGUUGAAGAGAAUAUAUGUAUAUGCAGUUCUCAGUUUUAACGCCCAGGCAUGUUUAUAGUGAAUCUUCUUUAUAAGAAGACGACGCAUUUUUUUACACCUUUACUCGUGUAAUCCCGCGUUACUGCAGAUGUUUUGUUUAUUAUUACAUUGCUAAAUAAAUAAAGAGCAGAUUAAAUGUGCAGCGUGUCGGGAAGUGCGUCGGGUAAAAACGCGAGCUCUUGUUACGCGGCGUAGCUUUCGUUAGCGCAUUAAGACAGGAGCUGCACGUCGGGUUCCGCCCGGCGGCUAACUGGAGGGAUCUCGAGGGGGACGGACGCGGCGGAUUUUUGUGGACGCUUCAGCACUUCUUGAUUUUUGCAGAGAAACGAGCAUCACGUGCGACUCUGCUGUUGUUUCAGUCUGCUUGUGCAAGUAGUUCUAUUUUUUAUUAAUAAAACUAUUUUGUGGACGCAGUUUGUCUUUAAAAAGCCGUUUUAUUCAUUAUUUAUUUAAGGAAGGUGUCCAGGUUUAACUGUUUAACUCUCCUUGUUUUUCUUCCCAUCUCCACACCCCACUGUGUUGCACAGUGUGUAGGCUGAUGUGUUAUUUCUACUUAAUCUCUAUAGACACAUUUCUCUCAGUCUCUAUUUUUAAAUCCAUCAUCAUGAGUGUACACAAAAACACUAAACACACAAGAACAGGCAAGAAAUCCCUCCCGAUUAAAGGAGCCGUUGCUAAUUUUUCUGGAGCCCCCUGCUGCCUACAAGAAGAACUGCAAUGAUACAACAUUAAGCAGCUCCACACUAUUCCACUCAAAACAAACUGCUCUGUAUGAAUCUGAACUUACAGCUGGAGACUGGUUUUCUGGGCCAGAAACCUGCUGACAGCGUUCACCCUGGACAUUUCUUUAUUUUUCAGCUGGAGCUCUUGUGAUGUUUUUUUUUUUUUGCCUUUGCUGAAGAUUUAGGAGACAGAAAUUCAAGCGAGUUUGAGCUGCUUGUGUGAUCUGACAGUCACGGUGAAAGUGGAUCGUCACAACAAACGCAUGCGGUUAUUUUUAGCAACACUAUUGGAAAAUAAACUAUUUUUUCUAUUCAGCACGUCCUAAAUCUCUACGGUGACUCAUUUCUCUUCUCACUUGCCUUUCAAAUUGUGACCUGACGGAUCAGGAGGUUUAAAAAUAAAGCCUGAUGUCAUUCUGUGCCAAAAAUA